AAAUUUUCAACGAUGGAUCUCUCGGCUCCAAUAACGAUGAAGAACGCAGCGAAAUGCGAUAUGCAAUGCGAAUUGCAGAACUCCGCGAGUCAUCAGAUUUUCGAACGCAACUGGCGCUGAGAGGAUAUCCUCUUAGCAUGUUUGUUUCAGUGUG
rnacentral:rRNA from 1 species